rnacentral:rRNA from 2 species
GAAGGUGGCCUGUGAGGGUUGCUGGAGGUAUCAGAAGUGCGAAUGCUGACAUAAGUAACGAUAAAGCGGGUGAAAAGCCCGCUCGCCGGAAGACCAAGGGUUCCUGUCCAACGUUAAUCGGGGCAGGGUGAGUCGACCCCUAAGGCGAGGCCGAAAGGCGUAGUCGAUGGGAAACGGGUUAAUAUUCCCGUACUUGGUGUUACUGCGAAGGGGGGACGGAGAAGGCUAUGUUGGCCGGGCGACGGUUGUCCCGGUUUAAGCGUGUAGGUGUGUGUUCCAGGUAAAUCCGGUUCACUUUAACACUGAGGCGUGACGACGAGGCACUACGGUGCUGAAGCAACAAAUGCCCUGCUUCCAGGAAAAGCCUCUAAGCAUCAGGUAACAUCAAAUCGUACCCCAAACCGACACAGGUGGUCAGGUAGAGAAUACCAAGGCGCUUGAGAGAACUCGGGUGAAGGAACUAGGCAAAAUGGUGCCGUAACUUCGGGAGAAGGCACGCUGACACGUAGGUGAAGUGAUUUACUCAUGGAGCUGAAGUCAGUCGAAGAUACCAGCUGGCUGCAACUGUUUAUUAAAAACACAGCACUGUGCAAACACGAAAGUGGACGUAUACGGUGUGACGCCUGCCCGGUGCCGGAAGGUUAAUUGAUGGGGUCAGCGCAAGCGAAGCUCCUGAUCGAAGCCCCGGUAAACGGCGGCCGUAACUAUAACGGUCCUAAGGUAGCGAAAUUCCUUGUCGGGUAAGUUCCGACCUGCACGAAUGGCGUAAUGAUGGCCAGGCUGUCUCCACCCGAGACUCAGUGAAAUUGAACUCGCUGUGAAGAUGCAGUGUACCCGCGGCAAGACGGAAAGACCCCGUGAACCUUUACUAUAGCUUGACACUGAACAUUGAGCCUUGAUGUGUAGGAUAGGUGGGAGGCUUUGAAGCGUGGACGCCAGUCUGCGUGGAGCCGACCUUGAAAUACCACCCUUUAAUGUUUGAUGUUCUAACGUGGACCCGUUACCCGGGUUGCGGACAGUGUCUGGUGGGUAGUUUGACUGGGGCGGUCUCCUCCUAAAGAGUAACGGAGGAGCACGAAGGUUGGCUAAUCCUGGUCGGACAUCAGGAGGUUAGUGCAAUGGCAUAAGCCAGCUUGACUGCGAGCGUGACGGCGCGAGCAGGUGCGAAAGCAGGUCAUAGUGAUCCGGUGGUUCUGAAUGGAAGGGCCAUCGCUCAACGGAUAAAAGGUACUCCGGGGAUAACAGGCUGAUACCGCCCAAGAGUUCAUAUCGACGGCGGUGUUUGGCACCUCGAUGUCGGCUCAUCACAUCCUGGGGCUGAAGUAGGUCCCAAGGGUAUGGCUGUUCGCCAUUUAAAGUGGUACGCGAGCUGGGUUUAGAACGUCGUGAGACAGUUCGGUCCCUAUCUGCCGUGGGCGCUGGAGAACUGAGGGGGGCUGCUCCUAGUACGAGAGGACCGGAGUGGACGCAUCACUGGUGUUCGGGUUGUCAUGCCAAUGGCACUGCCCGGUAGCUAAAUGCGGAAGAGAUAAGUGCUGAAAGCAUCUAAGCACGAAACUUGCCCCGAGAUGAGUUCUCCCUGAGACUUAAAGUCUCCUGAAGGAACGUUGAAGACGACGACGUUGAUAGGCCGGGUGUGUAAGCGCAGCGAUGCGUUGAGCUAACCGGUACUAAUGAACCGUGAGGCUUAACCUUACAACGCCGAAG